ACCUUCGCCUGCGUCGGAUCGUAAAGUCGUUUUUCCGCGAACUCCAAACGCGUUUUGCGGGUCGACGUUAUGCGGGUCUGUCAGAGAUGCUCUUAGGCACGACCCGUGCGCACGACCUUGGUGAGGCUCGAGGUGGCGGUCCUGAUCCACGCGCCCGGUGAGAGCGCUCGCCGCAGUGGUGGCUUGAGGACUGAAGCCGAACGCUCGGGCCGGUGGAUUGGGCUUGAGGACGAGGCAGAGCACGAGCCGGCGCUGGAUGGGAGCCGUUGGAUGGCAGGCGCCGGGGCACAUUUAUCAGGCCGACUGUAAAUCGUUUAUUCAAUCGGUUUUGUAAUGGCCGCCCCAAAUGUCCAAUGCACCCCUGCAAAUUUUGGCUUGUGCGUGCGUGGUGCCCUGCCGGCGUGCUAUGCGUGUUGGAUGGAUGACUGAGGGCGCGCAUGGCCGGCCGGCUGCCCGGCAUGUGUGCUGUCCGUGCGUGUUGACUCAGGAAUUGCCAGUCACCUAUAGGAGCCAUUGCAGGAAUUGCUUGAAUAUCCACAUUAGCUCCUAAAAGUGUUCCCUUCAAUCAGCCCUUCCUUCAAGAUUUUUGGUAUUAGCUGUUGAUUGUGCUAAAGAUACAGUACUUCAGGUCCUACCCUGAUCAGCUUAGUAUAGGAGGUGGAAGAUUGCGCCAAAAUCUUCCUCUUUACGACUUCUAUGUUUGGAACCAUAGUGCAAGUUGGGGAUCUUUAUUUCUGUUGAAAGAAAAUUACUUGCAACUGUAUUCGCACAUGUUUCAUUUAUUUUUAUGCAUUGCGGAUUCAUCAGGUACUACAAAAUAUUUGUUGUGAUGAUGCAAAUCAUGAUUUAACAUAGAAGUUGCCUUUGUCCAUUUCAGCUGCUUGGUCAGCUUAAGAGAGAGCCAAUGGCUGAAUGACUGAAUGCCCAGUCUAUCUCUAUCAAUUGGCACACCUAUCACUUGUGGAGUGAUAUUGAUUUGUCGAGAGUUAUCGAAGGCCAGGAAUCAUCUUGCCCUCAACCAGAUUCAUGUUCUUUGACUCACUUUUCCAUCAAGGUAAACCCUUUGGUUCCCGUUCUGUCUUUGUUCGAUUGUCGUUAACAGUUUUUUUGUUAGUUUGUAAUCCAUGUCUUCAGAUCAUGUACUUCUUUUUUUGACAUGUAGAUCAUAUACUUUUAACCAUCUUGCCCUCAACCAGAUUCAUGUUCUUUGACUCACUUCUCCAUCAAGUUGGUUCUUCAUUAUCUUUAUCUCAUUAUUCUGGUGCUACAUAUAUGUACGAUAUAUUCUUACAUUCCAGUAUGUUUGUUUGUAUGUGCUGAGUUUGCUCUUUUUUAAGGGCAACUAUUCUCUCAAACUGCAAGAAAUGAUGGUAGGUAGGGAAACAUUUGGAAUUUUUUUUCUUUGGUAUGCACGCUUUGGCUUUAACAAUAAUAUAUUUUUUGACAAUUCACACACUAAUUGUGAAAUAGUUGUGGUGUGUCUGUGGCCGCAUUAAGGUGGCUGCAUUGUUGACCAUGGUGGAGGUCUGGAGAGAAGGAAGUUGUGCGGUGAGAACAGCCACACUCAUUCUUGCGCACUGAGCCACCUCCUGUUAAGUCCCUUAUUCAAACACAUGCUAUUUUGUUCUUGUUAGAGUACGUAAUGGGCCUAAUGGGCCCAUUAGUCUUAGGGUUAAUAGAGAUAAGGGUCGUUUGCUUAGGGGCCAAGUAAGCCUUGCUUGAGAG